GGACAAUGGGCGCWSKGAUCCAGCGAUGCCGCGUGUGUGAAGAAGGCCUGCGGGUUGUAAAGCACUUUCAGUAGGGAAGAAAAGCCGAGUGCUAAUAUCACUCGGUCUUGACGUUACUUACAGAAGAAGCACCGGCUAACUCCGUGCCAGCAGCCGCGGUAAUACGGAGGGUGCGAGCGUUAAUCGGAAUUACUGGGCGUAAAGGGCGCGUAGGCGGUCUGGUAAGUCGGGUGUGAAAGCCCUGGGCUCAACCUGGGAAUUGCAUUCGAUACUGCCUGGCUAGAGUAUGGUAGAGGGAAGCGGAAUUCCGGGUGUAGCGGUGAAAUGCGUAGAUAUCCGGAGGAACACCAGUGGCGAAGGCGGCUUCCUGGACCAAUACUGACGCUGAGGCGCGAAAGGUGGGGAUCAAACAGGAUUAGAUACCCUGGUAGUCCACGCCCUAAACGAUGAGAACUAGCCGUUGGAGGAGCUUUGUCCUUUAGUGGCGCASUAUACGCGAUAAGUUUUCCGCCUGGGGAGUACGGCCGCAAGGUUA
rnacentral:rRNA from 1 species